AAACUCAAAGGAAUUGACGGGUCCCCGCACAAGCAGCGGAGCGUGUGGUUUAAUUCGAUGCUACACGAAGAACCUUACCUGGGUUUGACAUAUAGGUUGUAGGGAACUGAAAAGGGACCGACCCUUCGGGGAGCCUAUACAGGUGUUGCAUGGCUGUCGUCAGCUCGUGUCGUGAGAUGUUCGGUUAAGUCCGCUAACGAGCGCAACCCUCGUCGUAUGUUAUAUGUGUCAUACGAGACUGCCGGUAAAAAGCCGGAGGAAGGUGAGGAUAAUGUCAAGUCAGCAUGACCUUUAUAUCCAGGGCUACACACACGCUACAAUGGUCUGUACAAUGGGUAGCCAAGCCGCGAGGCGGAGCCAAUCCUGAAAGCAGGCCUCAGUUCAGAUUGCAGUCUGCAACUCGACUGCAUGAAGCCGGAGUUGCUAGUAACCGCAGGUCAGCAAUACUGCGGUGAAUACGUUCCCGGGUCUU
rnacentral:rRNA from 1 species